UCCAAAAACAGCCAAGGGUCAUCAAUCAGCCCAUCCUCUCUCCUACUCACCGGGGGCAGCAGCCCAGCUUGCUCCUAUCUGCUUUUUAUGAGCAGUGCUGUCCUCUGAAUAGCACACAGAGAAGAGACUAAUAAUCAUACAAAUAUCAGGGAGAGCAGUCAAUCAUCACCCGAAAUGUUCAGUACACCUGGGGGAAAUUCGGGUGCUGCAGCUUGAAGAGUCUGCAAGUUUAGCAUGUAGAAGAGACAACAUUACUGCAACACAAGUUGUUUUACUUCCUCCAGCCCUGAUGACAAAUCUCACUAUUUCUGGGCCAAAU
rnacentral:lncRNA from 12 species